rnacentral:rRNA from 1 species
GCCCAGAUGGGAUUAGCUAGUAGGUGGGGUAAAGGCUCACCUAGGCGACGAUCCCUAGCUGGUCUGAGAGGAUGACCAGCCACACUGGAACUGAGACACGGUCCAGACUCCUACGGGAGGCAGCAGUGGGGAAUAUUGCACAAUGGGCGCAAGCCUGAUGCAGCCAUGCCGCGUGUAUGAAGAAGGCCUUCGGGUUGUAAAGUACUUUCAGCGGGGAGGAAGGGAGUAAAGUUAAUACCUUUGCUCAUUGACGUUACCCGCAGAAGAAGCACCGGCUAACUCCGUGCCAGCAGCCGCGGUAAUACGGAGGGUGCAAGCGUUAAUCGGAAUUACUGGGCGUAAAGCGCACGCAGGCGGUUUGUUAAGUCAGAUGUGAAAUCCCCGGGCUCAACCUGGGAACUGCAUCUGAUACUGGCAAGCUUGAGUCUCGUAGAGGGG